GGGGAUUUAGCUCAGUGGUAGAGCGCUUGCCUAGCAAGCACAAGGCUCUGGGUUCAGUCCCCA
rfam:Rattus norvegicus chromosome X, whole genome shotgun sequence.